AAAUGGUUUAUUUCUCUUCCCUGAACUAUUUAUUGCCUCAAUAACAACGGUAGGAUGAAGGUUCUGGCGGACACAGGACCCGUCCGCCGCUCGCUCACACACAAGUCCGAUAAAACGAGCGUUCCCCCUGCUCGCACGCGGCGUUACACGGAGGACAAGUGACGGCUGUCAACGAGUCCGUCGAUGCGGAUGCGGGUUUGUAUUGGGACUCACAGCAGCUGCAGGUUCGGGAGCCGCUCGCACACUGAGCCGGGCAGAGAGGCUCUCCAAGCUCUUGGUUCCUGUCAGAUCUGGAAACUCGGUGAGAUCCGCCGCCCCGUUCAGCGAGCUGAGAGAGAAACAGUUUGGGUUUGGGUGAAGCCGAAGGAAGCAAAUUUACGCCGAGGAAA